rnacentral:rRNA from 1 species
UACAGGUAGUGCAGACGUUAUUCAAAUGUAUUGGGUGUAAAGGAUAUGUAGGUUGCUUUGAGUUGGACGUUUUUAAAAACGCUAGAAUAAGACUUUAGAUAUGAUAAUGUAACCAAAAGCUAUGAGUUUAUAAGAGGUUGAAAGAAUUUUUUAGGGAGGGGUUGAAUCCAUAGAUGUAAGAAAGACUACCAAAAUCGUAGUGAAAACAUUCUUCCAAUAUAAUACUAACACUAGAUAUGAAAGUUUAGGAAUCAAACAGG